rnacentral:rRNA from 1 species
UACAGAGGGUGCGAGCGUUGUUCGGAAUUAUUGGGCGUAAAGCGCUGGUAGGUGGCUUGUUAAGUCGCGUGUGAAAGCUCCAGGCUCAACCUGGAAAGUGCGCGCGAAACUGGCGAGCUUGAGUGCCGGAGAGGGUCGCGGAAUUCCCGGUGUAGAGGUGAAAUUCGUAGAUAUUCGGAAGAACACCAGUGGCGAAGGCGACUUACUGGACACAUAUUGACGCUGAGGUGCGAAAGCGUGGGGAGCAAACAGG